AGCUUGUCGAGAUAAGGCUUAGAGUUA
rnacentral:piRNA from 1 species